GAUGAACGCUGACAGAAUGCUUAACACAUGCAAGUCCACUUGAAUUUGGGUUUUUAACUUAGGUUUGGGUGGCGGACGGGUGAGUAACGCGUAAAGAACUUGCCUCACAGCUAGGGACAACAUUUGGAAACGAAUGCUAAUACCUAAUAUUAUGAUAAUAGGGCAUCCUAUAAUUAUGAAAGCUAUAAGCGCUGUGAGAGAGCUUUGCGUCCCAUUAGCUAGUUGGAGAGGUAACGGCUCACCAAGGCGAUGAUGGGUAGCCGGCCUGAGAGGGUGAUCGGCCACAAGGGGACUGAGACACGGCCCUUACUCCUACGGGAGGCAGCAGUGGGGAAUAUUGGACAAUGGACCGAGAGUCUGAUCCAGCAAUUCUGUGUGCACGAUGAAGUUUUUCGGAAUGUAAAGUGCUUUCAGUUGGGAAGAAACAAAUGACGGUACCAACAGAAGAAGUGACGGCUAAAUACGU
rnacentral:rRNA from 1 species